GGCUGCUGGGAUCUACUGAGGUUAAACUACAGUCCUACCGGGAUUUUAGGCUUCUCGCGAUACUAGAGCCCUCGCGCGGGAUUUUGCUGGGUAAUGGUUUGGUUUCAUUAAGUUGCUGAGGGCACUGAUAACUUGCUGAGGCAUACCUCAAACUUGUGAUUCUACUGUGUGGGCCUUUGGAGUCGCUGGAAUUAUAGAUAUUUUUCGCUCUAAAACUAACAUUGAAUUGGAAAACGGCACUCAGAAAUGUGGCAGUUGGAAAGUCAACAUUACUCUUAUUCUUAAUCUACAGGGCUUGAAGAUUUUGCCGAAGCCAGAGAACUUGCUUUUUCUUUUGGUGGGAGGUGUUGUGUCUCCAGCUUCCACACUGUCCAUGACCAUGCCUGGGUCUGCAGUGGGCUGGCCUGCUUCUUC